GGCGAACGCUGGCGGCGUGCUUAACACAUGCAAGUCGAACGGAAAGGCCCUGCUUUUGUGGGGUGCUCGAGUGGCGAACGGGUGAGUAACACGUGAGUAACCUGCCCUUGACUUUGGGAUAACUUCAGGAAACUGGGGCUAAUACCGGAUAGGAGCUCCUGCUGCAUGGUGGGGGUUGGAAAGUUUCGGCGGUUGGGGAUGGACUCGCGGCUUAUCAGCUUGUUGGUGGGGUAGUGGCUCACCAAGGCUUUGACGGGUAGCCGGCCUGAGAGGGUGACCGGCCACAUUGGGACUGAGAUACGGCCCAGACUCCUACGGGAGGCAGCAGUGGGGAAUAUUGCACAAUGGGCGGAAGCCUGAUGCAGCAACGCCGCGUGCGGGAUGACGGCCUUCGGGUUGUAAACCGCUUUCGCCUGUGACGAAGCGUGAGUGACGGUAAUGGGUAAAGAAGCACCGGCUAACUACGUG
rnacentral:rRNA from 1 species